UCCAAGUAAAGAUGUAGCACUAAUAUUUUCUGCGAUGGCACACUAUACACACUGCCAUUUUGGAUGGGGUUUCAUUGAACUUCAGGUACAGAAAAUGAAGCUUACUUGUCCCCGAAAGGCAAAAAUUCCAGAAUGCAGUAACCGGAAUGAGAGGGGAGCAGCAUACGGUAUUCUUGUGGAAAAAGAAAAAUCAGAUAUGAUAUAGAAUUUAGACUUCCCUGCACAUGAGACAACAAGUAGACUUUAGACUUCUCUGGAUAUGAGGCAACACGAAGGAGCCUAGAUUGUAAUGUAUCUCCCGAGAGCUUUACAUAUGAGGCAGUUCGAAAGAGCGGAGGCGGGGCAUCAAUGACGUCAGGAACGAGGCCGCUCUCGCACCACUGACUGAGAGUGGGUUUCAUGGGAGGUAAAUAAUGAUGCGAUAAUGUUGUGCUCCCGACUGCCUCCGCCUGAAAAAAAGGAAGAUGUCUCCCUGGGUUAUGUGGAGGCUCAAGAUUCUUACAACAGACAUUUAAGUGGAUCUAGACAUGGAAUUAUAAUCAAAAUAGUGCCUUUGCUUCAAAAUAAAGAGCUGGAUCCCAGCUGUUUCUGAGUGAAUGAGAAGGUCGGGGAAUUUUCCAAAACUCAGGCUAUGCAU